rnacentral:ncRNA from 1 species
CUUAAGGUGCUCUGCUUCAACUCAGAGUUAAACGGGAAGUUGGUGAAAUGCCAACACUGCCCCCGCAACGGUAAGCGUUGAAAUGCAAGCUAAUGACCACUGUGUGUCGAUACAUGGGAAGGUAGUUUGUGAGGUGAAAACCACAACGUGAGUCCGGAGACCGGCCCAAAGC